GGCCGCGGCCCGCCGACCAAUGGCUGCGAGGGCCUUCGGCUGUGGGCGGGACGACUCGGCUCCACUUCCGGGGCGUGGGCGCGCCCGGGAAGCUUGGAGCGCUGAGCCGCGCUGGGAGGGGGCUUCGACUCUGAGCAGGGCGGACUCUGGGCAGAGGAGGAGGGUUUUAGCUGGAAUGCGAAGUCUCGCCGCCCAUUCGUGGGAAAGGCGUCUUUCCAGAGUGCUCCCGCGCCACCGCCAGCGCAGCGGCGCGCUGGGACUACAAGUCCCAGGAGGCCAGGAGACUGAGGCCGGCAGGAGUCCAGGAGCGGGGCGGGACUGGGCAGUGGGGGGAAGAGAGGCAUGCUGGGAACUGUAGUCGUGUUGUCUCCACGUUCGCAGCAGUUCACACUCCCUGGAGGCCUUCAUGGGAAAUGGAAUGUCUCAAAGACAGGCAGCAGGAGAGACGCUGGUAAUCUUCAGACUGGACACUCAGGUCUGGAGCUGAGGCGGUCCAGGGCUGUUGUAGUUUCUAUUCCCAAGAUCACCUCAUGUGCCAGCUGAACUGCUCGAGCCAUCACAACCACAUUCCAGUUCGUCUACAGGAGGAAAAGAAGAAUCAGGGGCAAAGGAUACAUACCAGCUCUACCCUUUUAACACCAGCUUUUAUAGAAGGUUUCAGUGCCAUCCUUUGCUUACCCAUGAGGAAGAGAAGGGCAGCCCCGGACAUGCGAGAGCUGCCCUGGCACUCGCAGCCAGGCCUUGGCGUUCUUCUGUUAAGCACGUGCGAUUUCAAACAACACCAGCAUCAGGCAAGGCCAUGAAAACAAGGCUGCUCCAUAAUUAUGCCUGAACACAAAGAUAGGAACGUGGUCCAAACUGCAAAAUGACCAGACAUGUCCGUAUUCUGCCUGAUUUGUUUCCUAGGUCGGAGGUAUGACUGACUUCCUCUUGCAAGAAUAGAGUUGCUUAAAUGACGUGGGUUCCUGAAUAGAAGGCCAAAAAGGAAGAGAAGGCAACAGACUUCGGUUAAGUAUCUUGACCGACAAAAUGCACCAAGAGAAGGUUGUAACAAGAGCAAUCACAUGAGGAAGCCGGUUCCAGAGGGCCAGGUGACCUGCCUACAGCCCCACGCCAAGGAGGAGGCCUAGCCGGGAUCCGACCCCACACUGCACACGCAGCUGCCAGCCUGGAGAGACCACAGAAAUGUAUCCUUUUAGACUUGAAAGACACCUCACAGAUCAUCUGGUUAAUCCAGUGUCUUCCAGCACACCAAUUUCACAUAGGAGCAAACAGAG
rnacentral:lncRNA from 1 species